ensembl:lncRNA
CAACAACAAAACACAGCGUGGAGGAGACAACUGCCAGCGAGACAUUUACAAACCAACAUAUCGAUCCAGCGUGUGGAAACAUUUCGGCUUUUGCAAACACGGAGGUGUUCUGAAUAAGUCGGUCGCUGUUUGUAGAAUAUGUAGAAGACAAAUAAAAAAACACGGAAACAGGACGAAUCUUUCCAGCCAUCUACUAAGGCGCCGUGGGAUUAAACAACGCCGACAGUCAGGACCUCUAGCAGCGUAACUCCAGCUCUGCAGACACCUCAGGCCUCGCCAGCACCAAACUCAACAUCACAG